rnacentral:lncRNA from 1 species
AAACAAGAUCAAUAACUUUGAUCUAAAAUUUUAAUGUCAUAUCAUCAUAUUUUGUAAGAUUUUUAUUUUCAGCCGUUGAUUUUGAGCCACUUCGAUCACUAGGGAAAUGAUAUCGAAAAAUCGCAAAAUUUAUUUUCUAGAUACUUCAAAUACUCUAGAUCAAGUCUAACGAAGCUGAUCGUCGAUUCGAAAGUCCGAACAUCGAAAACAAAGUGGAAGCACGAAGCCCUUCGUGCUUCCAUAAGCAUCCUAGCCGCACUCUAUAUAUAUAUAUAGAGCCGCACUCUAUAUAUAUAUAUAGAGUGAGGCUACUAUGCUAUCGGAAGCACGGAGCCUUCCGUGCUUCCAGCUUGUUUUCGAUGUUGCUACUUUCGAAUCGUCGAUCGGCUUCAUUAAACUUGAUCUAGAGUAUUUGGAGUACCUAGAAAAUAAAUUUUAUUAUUUUUCGAUAUCAUUUGCCUAGUGAUCAAAUAGGUUCAAAAUCAAUAAAUUUCAAUGGCCGUAGUGAGCCGUUUGCAAGUUUAACGGUAUAGAAAUAUCCAAAUCACGUGAAAUUUUGAUAGAAAAUUCUUUAUACUAUAUAAAACAAGAUCAAUAUCUUUAAUUUAAAAUUUUAAUGUCAUAUUAUUACAUUUUGUAUGAUUUUUAUUUGCAGCCGUUGAUUUUGAGCCCCUUCAUUCACUAGGGAAA